CCGUCCCCGGACCCCGGUUCACAUUAGCCACCGGAAAAAGGAACUGCCGGCACCGGCGGCCACCGCCGCCAAAGCAGGAAGCCGCCUUGGCCCUUGGGUGGUGCUGUGUAGCCAGCUGACGGGUAGCUAGGGACGGUGAGGCCACGGUGCAGUCUUACUGUCUAUCGGGCGGAGGGCAACUCUGCAGCAUGCGACGGCUGCCAGGAAGGCAGAUGCGGCUGGAGGCGAUGAGGAUUGCUCCUGCUCUGCACGUCGGCGCCCAUGGGAAGUUAGAGGAACAUCACCAGGGCUAUAAGAAGGGCAGAAGUUGAAGCAACACCUGUGACCAGAAAGAGUCCAGAAAAGCUUCUGAAGUUUAGACUGCUGGGGCUGGCGAUGGCACCAUCAUUUUGACAGACAUGUUGAUCUCCGAUCCAUUUCUUUUCUAUCUGAAUGAUGGCAUCUCCUUCUGUUAUGCUGAGGAUUCUCCUGGAGAAGUCAUUGACCAUAGGAGAUCUCUUGGCUUGGACAUUGCCUGCAUUGGAAUCUCUGAUGUGAAGAACCAGCUUUGUCUUAUAGUCCCUAUGAACUGCGUAGAAAUCUUCCAUGGCCAUCAAAAUACUUGUAUGUGCCAUCUUACCCACCAAUGACUGCAAGUUGAGGAUCACUCCAACAUUGAGUGUUGCUGCUCCACUUAUGGGAACUCUGUGAGCAAAACUGAGGAUAACGAACACCACAGAGAAGGUGGUUCUAGCUGCUAACUCCAUCCCCUUGAGUUGUGUAAGUUUUAGAGAAUGUGAGUGUGCCAAUGCAGUCUUGUAUGGAAAAUCUUAUAGGUCUGGAUUUUUUUUUUGUGUGCUUUGACUUGGUCCAGUUAUAUUUCAGUUCUGUAAGCUAUGAACUAAAAUUUAAAACUCUUCCAUCUCUUUUUCUUGUGAAAGGUGCUAUCCUUUAAAUAUGAUGUAUCUGAGUGCCUGCAUGCUGAAGCCGGUGGCAGUGGAGAUUCAAGGAAAUUCCUGGCGAAUAAACCAAGAAUGAUCUGGACAGCUAAUUCAACCGGUCUGAAUACCUGCAUGGGGAAGUUGAUAGCUGCGCAGAGAUUCUGGGAAAUUCCUGGUAACAACCGAGGAUGGUAUGGACAGGUUCCCUGGUCAAGCCAAUCGAUCUUUGGCCCUGAAGUGAUAAUAUAAUUGCGACGAGAAAGGUCAAAAGGAACUCACUGCUGGCAGUCCUGCGAGUCGAAGCAUGAGAUCGCCGUCCAGAAGCAAUCAAAACAGUGUUGACAAUGAGCAGUCAAGUCAGUGGGCUUAGCUUUCUUGUGAGGGUACGUACGAACUGACGAGUGACCUCGAGGGAAUUAAAGUAUCAUGCUCUGCGUUAAGAGAAUCUGCUCGCUGAUUGUUGACUUUUGAAAUAUGUGCUGCAUAACACAGUUUUUUUUUCAUUAAUUUAUGCAUCUGGUAGUUGCGGAAAUUAGAUUUUCUGACUGUAGCAACUGAAAUUGUUGGAGAAAAAUAUUCAGAAUGGCAACGGUGAUCCAUAGUCCAUUUGACUUUUCAUCUA